CACGUAGGGUGCGAGCGUUGUCCGGAAUUACUGGGCGUAAAGCGCGUGUAGGCGGCUAUGUAAGUCGGGCGUGAAAUCCCACGGCUCAACCGUGGAAGUGCACCCGAAACUGCGUAGCUAGAGUCCUGGAGAGGAAGGUGGAAUGCUUGGUGUAGAGGUGAAAUUCGUAGAUAUCAAGCGGAACACCGGUGGCGAAGGCGGCCUUCUGGACAGUGACUGACGCUGAGACGCGAAAGCGUGGGGAGCAAACAGG
rnacentral:rRNA from 1 species